GUAGGGAAUAUUGGGCAAUGGAGGCAACUCUGACCCAGCCAUGCCGCGUGCAGGAUGACGGCCCUCUGGGUUGUAAACUGCUUUUAUACGGGAAGAAAAAAUACUACGUGUAGUAUACUGACGUUACCGUAAGAAUAAGGAUCGGCUAAUUCCGUGCCAGCAGCCGCGGUAAUAGGGAGGAUCCAAGCGCUUUCGGGAUUUUUUGGGUUUAAAGGGUGCGGAGGCGGAUCUUUAAGUCAGUGGUGAAAGACUGCAGCUUAACUGUAGAAUUGCCAUUGAAACUGAAGAUCUUGAAUGUGGUUAAAGUAGGCGGAAUGUAUCAUGUAGCGGUGAAAUGCUUAGAUAUGAUACAGAACACCGAUAGCGAAGGCAGCUUGCUGAACCAUUAUUGACGCUGAGGCACGAAAGCGUGGGGAGCGAACAGGAUUAGAAACCCCGGUAGUCC
rnacentral:rRNA from 1 species